rnacentral:rRNA from 1 species
UAGGGAAUCUUCGGCAAUGGACGAAAGUCUGACCGAGCCACGCCGCGUGAGUGAAGAAGGUUUUCGGAUCGUAAAACUCUGUUGUUAGAGAAGAACAAGGACGUUAGUAACUGAACGUCCCCUGACGGUAUCUAACCAGAAAGCCACGGCUAACUACGUGCCAGCAGCCGCGGUAAUACGUAGGUGGCAAGCGUUGUCCGGAUUUAUUGGGCGUAAAGCGAGCGCAGGCGGUUUCUUAAGUCUGAUGUGAAAGCCCCCGGCUCAACCGGGGAGGGUCAUUGGAAACUGGGAGACUUGAGUGCAGAAGAGGAGAGUGUAAUUCCAUGUGUAGCGGUGAAAUGCGUAGAUAUAUGGAGGAACACCAGUUGCGAAGGCGGCUCUCUGGUCUGUAACUGACGCUGAGGCUCGAAAGCGUGGGGAGCAAACAGG